UAUUGGACAAUGGGGGAAACCCUGAUCCAGCAAUGCCGCGUGAAUGAUGAAGGCCUUAGGGUUGUAAAGUUCUUUCACCUGUGAAGAUAAUGACGGUAGCAGGAGAAGAAGCCCCGGCUAACUCCGUGCCAGCAGCCGCGGUAAGACGGAGGGGGCUAGCGUUGUUCGGAAUGACUGGGCGUAAAGGGCGCGUAGGCGGUUUUUUAAGUGAGGCGUGAAAGCCCUGGGCUUAACCCAGGAGGUGCGUUUCAUACUGGAAGACUUGAGUACGAGAGAGGAAAGCGGAAUUCCUAGUGUAGAGGUGAAAUUCGUAGAUAUUAGGAAGAACACCAGUGGCGAAGGCGGCUUUCUGGCUCGUAACUGACGCUGAGCGCGAA
rnacentral:rRNA from 1 species